rnacentral:lncRNA from 1 species
UGGGUUUUCAAAACCGAACCGAAACCGAAACCACACCAUAUAUUAAAUGUCAUGUUUUAAUUGGUUCUUUAUUAGAGUCCAUAUAUUUAUAGUAUAGACUCAACUAUACAGUGUAUGCCAUAGUCCGGUAGCAAUGUUUUUCACUUUAGUUUCGGACAAUGAUUUCACAUAACUUGGUCUUAGCUGAACUAUUGUAUUCCCUUGCCCACACUCGAUCAAAAUGGGAAAAGAAGAGAAAUGCAGCAGAUAAAUAACAAGAACAAGAUAAGGAAAAUGCGGUUCUAAUUGAAAAUCUAAUCAGUAGUACUCCUAAUUAUCAAAGUAUACAAGAAGAGCAAUCAAUUCUCUCAGUUCCGCUCAAACAACAUAAGACCUUGACUAGCAUAGCAAGCUCACAUGUAAAAGCAAGCCCCCCUUUAGCAUAAGACCUUGUGCUCGUCCUAAACAACGAGCACAAACCUGUAAAAGCAAACCCACCUUUAGCUACCAGUUUUGGAAUAUGGUUGCUACCGUGACUGGAGAAAAAACGCACUCAACAUUUUCCCUUCCUUCUAGGACCAAAACCAGAAGAACCAGACCGAAACCUCAAACCGAGAAGAAAAAAAGAAUCUCAAAAA